ACAACAGACCCGCCGUGAGGGCACGAAGCCGUGAGCCCGUGACCGCCGUGAGCCCCUUCCGUGAUUCCGUUCCCUCCAGGUAGGCUGCCAUCCCUCCAGCGUUGGCACAGGCUGUCAGGUUAGUGAGCUCCUACCAAUCCUACCAUCCUCAUUCCCUCCAGCGUUGGCACCAUGAGCACUGAGCUCCUAUCAUCCCUCCACGUGAUGCACAGGCUGCCAGGCUGGGGCGUUGAGCUGCCACCUGCACCUGCCAGGCUAGGGCGCUGGGCUGCCAUCCCUCCAGGAGUCGAUGCUGCCGACCUGUCGCUGGUUAGGUUAGUGAUCUGAAAUUCUGAAGUCCAUCCCUCCAAGCUCCAGUCCGCCUGUCAGGUACUCAGGUCAGUAAUCUGAAAUUCUGAAGUCAACUAGAUGGAGUUCAACUUACAAGAUGUUGCAUACUUGUAUAGCUUAUAAAGAAGCCAUUGAAACAUAUGCUGAUGCAGAUUUAAACUAUAAAUGGGAACCUACAGCUGAAGAGUGGGUUUUGUUUAUUGCAAUUGAACCAAUUCUUGCAUCUUUAGCUAAAGUUACCACUGCAUUGUCUGCUUCUUCAUAUCCUACUGCGAAUCUAUUCUAUCCUCACAUUGUGGAUAUAAAAAUUGCAUUGAGGGCAGCAAUGGUCUCCAAUAAUUUGAAUUUGAGAACAAUGGGUAAUGCUAUGAUGGAAAAGUUUAACAAGUAUUGGGAAGAAAAGAAUAAUGUUAUGGUUAUUGCUACUAUUCUUGAUCCAAGGUAUAAAAUGAGAUUUAUUGAGUGGUGCUUCAAUAAGAUAUUUGAUGAACAUCAAGUUGUGUUUGAAUUAGAAGAUGUUCGUAGUGAGUUAGAAAAAACUCUAUGGGGAUUUUGAGGUGCAGCAUAGAAAGAGAAAAGAGUCUCAAAGCAAAUAUAAUGCUUCCUCAUCUUUGAGUAUUGAAAGAUCAUGUAGGUUGCCAUCCUCUUCAUGUCAAUUUCAGUCUUUCUUGUCAUCAACUCAGUAUAACCCAUCAAAGAGCGAGUUGCUUAUCUAUUUGGAGGAGACUAAUGUCAGUUUAUCGGACAAAGAGCUUGAUUUGCUGAAUUGGUGGAAGGUUAAUUCACAUAGAUUUCCAGUGGUGUCGAGAAUGGCAAAGAAAUUCCUAACUAUAUCUGCGACAUCUGUAUCUUCGGAGUCUACUUUUAGCACGGGAGGUAGAACUCUAGAUGAUUAUCAUAGUUCUCUAAGGCCUUCAAUGGUAGAGGCAUUGGUAUAUAUGCUCUUCUAGCUGGAUCCGAGGAACACAUGAUGGAGGCAUGAUAUAUGUGAUAUGCUGAUCUUGUAUAUUUCUUAAAGUUGUAUUAUUUCACACGUUAAUUGAACUUUGUAUUUUAUCAAGAAGAAGAUGACGAGGACAAUGUUGAGAACAUUCUGUUUCCAAAAAGCUUGGUGGAAAGCAACUAAAUUUGGAAGAAUUGGAUGGAGACAAGACAAGCUAAGCUAAGGACGUCAAGAGAAAAGAUGCAUCAUUUGAAUUAUUUUUGUCAUUGAAACUUUGAGAUACUGAAUAUUUUCUGCUUAUCAAUGGAUUAUGCAUUACUCUUGUAGACUUUAAGAUACUGCUGCUGGUUUAAAUGUCUUCUUGUAUGUUUUGAGGAGUAGUGUAUCUUCUUGUAUGUUUUGAGCUGAUUUUAUGGAAUAUAUAUACAGCUGAAGGUUUGGCUCG